GAAGUUAACUGGAUGGUCGCGGGGACAAGAACCGAAAGGUCGUCUCUGAGGAAAGUCCGAGCUCCAUAGGGCAGGGUGCCGGGUAACGCCCGGUGGGGGUGACCCCAAGGAAAGUGCAACAGAAAUAUACCGCCCGGCGCUUACUUAAGCCGGUUGUGCAGGUAAAUGUUUUAUGGUUUAUACUGCAAGGGUGUAGAAACCGUUUUAAGUAAGUGCCGGGUAAGGGUGGAAUGGUGAGGUAAGAGCUCACCGGCAGUCAGGUAACUGGCUGGCCCUGUAAACCCCACCCGGAGCAAGACCAAAUAGGGGAACAAUGAAGUGGCCCGCUUUAGUUCCCGGGUUAGGUCGCUUGAGGCUGGCGGUAACGUCAGUCCUAGAUAGAUGACCAUCACCUCGUAAGAGGCACAGAACUCGGCUUAUAGGUUAACUUCGUUC
rnacentral:RNase_P_RNA from 1 species